ACCCUUGUGUAUUAUUACUUUGUUGCUUUGGCGAGCUGCCUUCGGGCCUUGUAUGCUCGCCAGAGAAUACCAAAACUCUUUUUAUUAAUGUCGUCUGAGUACUAUAUAAUAGUUAAAACUUUCAACAACGGAUCUCUUGGUUCUGGCAUCGAUGAAGAACGCAGCGAAAUGCGAUAAGUAAUGUGAAUUGCAGAAUUCAGUGAAUCAUCGAAUCUUUGAACGCACAUUGCGCCCCUUGGUAUUCCGGGGGGCAUGCCUGUUCGAGCGUCAUUUCAACCCUCAAGCUUAGCUUGGUAUUGAGUCUAUGUCAGUAAUGGCAGGCUCUAAAAUCAGUGGCGGCGCCGCUGGGUCCUGAACGUAGUAAUAUCUCUCGUUACAGGUUCUCGGUGUGCUUCUGCCAAAACCCAAAUUUUUCUAUGGUUGACCUCGGAUCAGGUAGGGAUACCCGCUGAACUUAAGCAUAUCA
rnacentral:rRNA from 1 species